rnacentral:lncRNA from 1 species
GGCGGCGUACUGGCUGGAGGCAGCUCGCCGCCGCUGCCCCUGUCCGGCGGGCACGGGUAGCUGGGGCCUGGGGCUUUCGAGCGCGGUGAGCGCGCCUCGGACUAUAUUCUCCCGCCUCUUUGGGUACGCGGGACCUGCCUGGAGCGCGGGUCCCGUGCCUCGAGCGGACUCCUGUAGGAUGAACCUGAGAAGCUUCCGGGAUGGGACAUAGGCUUGUGCAGCGAGGUUCGCGCAAGUCCGGGGGAUGCCGUAGAGCGCGCACUGCCGUGGCGGGUCUAGGAACUUGUGACGGCUUUUAUUUUCUGGACCUGGUACUGAGCCGCCAGUGCCAGUUCUAAAACCUCACAGUGCAAUGCAGCUGCUACCUGCAUUCCUGUAUCCGCUAUUAGAACGGAUGUUUCCUAGCCUCUUUGUUGCAAAAAGAACUUGAAGGGCUUAAUUGUGGUACCGUGUAAUCAGGGUCAUCCCCCAUAACUGCAAAAACAAGUCUGAAACUCAACACUUGUAAAUAAAACUGGAAAACCGCGAAAACAAAAGUAAUUCUUUCUUUCCUUCUUCUUUCCUUCUUUCUUUCCUACCAAAUGCAAUCAUUUUGCUGGGUGUGGUGGUGCAGGCCGCUCAGGAGGAGGAGGAGGUAACAAAUUAAUGGGGCUGGGGUUGUGGCUCCGCGGUAGAGCGC